rnacentral:rRNA from 1 species
UACGGAGGGCGCGAGCGUUAUCCGGAUUCAUUGGGUUUAAAGGGUGCGCAGGCGGCUGCCUAAGUCAGCGGUGAAAGCCCGGGGCCCAACCCCGGAAGUGCCGUUGAUACUGGGCGGCUGGAAUGCGGUCGAGGUGGGCGGAACGUGGCGUGUAGCGGUGAAAUGCGUAGAUAUGCCACAGAACGCCGGUAGCGGAGGCGGCUCGCCAGGCCUGCAUUGACGCUCGGGCACGAAAGCGUGGGGAUCGAAC